rnacentral:tRNA from 1 species
UAGGUUGAAGCCAGUAGUUUUAGGCGUUUAGCUGUUAACUAAGUUUUUGUAGGAUAGAAGCCUGUCAACCUAG